rnacentral:lncRNA from 12 species
AUGGCGAAGACUUUGGGGGUCUUGCUUGGUGGGGGAGCUGUUGGACUGUACGUGUUGACUGUUGUUAGACAUCUACGUGGUGAUGUCCAGGGGCCUGGAGCUGAGGUCGAAGUGUAUGGGAAGCCACUUUGGAUGAGAUGCGGAGGGUCUGAGAGGAGGAGGAAACAGAAGGGCUGCUGGCUGGCGUGGGGAGGUCCAGAAGUGGCAGGCCAACUGCAGGCUGGUGGUGUUCUUCACGGAGCCCCGGCACUGUGUCCAGGCACGCUCUGGGCUCAAGGAACCUGUGCGUGCCAGCAGUCACAUAGCUGUGCUGUCCGUCCCUUGAGGACAGAGCCAGCGUCUCGAGGGCUUCACGCUGUGUCUGGCAUGUGCUUGGUAAUCGAGGUGGGACAGUGCAGAGCCACCAAUGGCCGGUCAAGACUGUGACGGCUGCACGGUGACGAGACGUCCUUCACUUGCUUUCCUGGUCGGAACUGCUGGAGGUCCGUGGGACUCCGUGCUCGUUUUCCAGGGUGGAAGCCUAAGGACGUUGAGCCAGCCUGUGUCAGAUGGCUGGCUUCUGCCCCCGAGACCCAGUCUUGGGAGGAUGCUCGUUGCUUAGAUUCAGCGUUCCGAGGUAAUUACCUGUUUGGGUCAGUGUCCUGUGUAUGUUGCACCGGGUGGCACACCUGUCACAGAAUGUGGAGGCUGGUCUUCAUUCCGCACGGUGGCGCCCCCAACUUACUCGUUCUGGUGACUUCUGGGGGACCCACCCCAAAAUGUGCCUACUGUCACCCAGCAUGGGGCAAAGCUUUUCCUGUUUCCUCCUCACACCAUCCUUGAGGGAUGAGCACAGUAAGGCCUCCACUGAAUGAGGGUCAGACUUUGUGCUGCCCCCAGCGGGGACUGUGUUCAACAGGCGUGAUGGACACACACUCCCUGUACAGUGUCCCCUGGGACCGACAGGGGGACACGGUCCCAGUCCAAGGACGCUGCAGUGCCAUGGAGGGAGUGUGUCUGCAGCAAUUCCAGAGGCACGUGUGACUUGCACCCAACAGAGGUGGGAUUGGGGGGGCGGGGGGGCAGAGGCAGGAAAAGCAGCGAUGCGACAGGUGAGGGGGAACAUGGGCAUGUGAGCACUCUUGAGGGACCCUGCAGAUGAUGGAUGUGUACCCUCACUUUGAGGCUCCUGCUAAUCUGGCAAGAGCCGGGGUCACUUCCCAGGAGUUCAUUCCCUUUGAGUGCGUCUGGCGCCUUAUUUGCUUUUGGCCAAUGCAGUAAAGAAUCUGAGGCCACACAACCCAUAAUUCAGUUGGCUAUAGUAGGAAAUUUGGUGAUGAAGUGUUAACUUAAUAGAACACCUCUUCUUCUUUCCGUCUGAAGUUAGCGUGGUUGCCUAUAAAGUUUGCUAGUAAACCUAAGAAAUACGCCUGUUUUGCAUUUGCCA